GGACAAGCGAAUAAGUGCACAUGGUGGAUGCCUUGGCGAUUACAGGCGAUGAAGGACGUAGUAGCUUGCGAUAAGCUGCGG
rnacentral:rRNA from 1 species